UACGGAGGGUGCAAGCGUUAUCCGGAAUCACUGGGUUUAAAGGGUACGUAGGCGGCCAUAUAAGUCAGGAGUGAAAUGUCCCGGCCCAACCGGGGAACUGCUCUUGAUACUGUUUGGCUUGAAUUGGGUUGAGGCUAGCGGAAUGCGUCAUGUAGCGGUGAAAUGCUUAGAUAUGACGUGGAACACCGAUUGCGAAGGCAGCCAGCCAAGCCCAUAUUGACGCUGAGGUACGAAAGCGUGGGUAGCGAACAGG
rnacentral:rRNA from 1 species